GACAGAGGUCCCGAGCGUUAGGCGGAAUCACUGGGCUUAAAGCGUGUGUAGGCGGAUCGUUAAGUGCCUUGUGAAAUCCCACGGCUCAACCGUGGAACUGCUUGGCAUACUGGCGGUCUUGAGCAACCUAGGGGCAAGCGGAACAAAUGGUGGAGCGGUGAAAUGCGUAGAUAUCGGAAGGAACGCCGGUGGCGAAAGCGCUCGACUGGACCUCUUCUGACGCUGAGGCGCGAAAGCCAGGGGAGCAAACGGG
rnacentral:rRNA from 1 species